rnacentral:rRNA from 1 species
CCCCUAGUAACUGCGAGUGAAGCGGGAAAAGCUCAAAUUUAAAAUCUGGCGGUCUUUGGCCGUCCGAGUUGUAAUCUAGAGAAGUGCUAUCCGCGCUGGACCGUGUACAAGUCUCCUGGAAUGGAGCGUCAUAGAGGGUGAGAAUCCCGUCUUUGACACGGACUGCCAGGGCUUUGUGAUGUGCUCUCAAAGAGUCGAGUUGUUUGGGAAUGCAGCUCAAAAUGGGUGGUAAAUUCCAUCUAAAGCUAAAUAUUGGCGAGAGACCGAUAGCGAACAAGUACCGUGAGGGAAAGAUGAAAAGAACUUUGGAAAGAGAGUUAAACAGUACGUGAAAUUGCUGAAAGGGAAACGCUUGAAGUCAGUCGCGUUGUCCAGGGAUCAUCCUUGCUUUUGCUUGGUGCACUUUCUGGUUGACGGGUCAGCAUCAAUUUUGACCAUUGGAAAAAGAUUAGGGGAAUGUGGCAUCUUCGGAUGUGUUAUAGCCCUUAGUUGCAUACAAUGGUUGGGAUUGAGGAACUCAGCACGCCGCAAGGCCGGGUUUUUAACCACGUACGUGCUUAGGAUGCUGGCAUAAUGGCUUUAAUCGACCCGUCUUGAAACACGGACCAAGGAGUCUAACAUGCCUGCGAGUGUUUGGGUGGAAAACCCGAGCGCGUAAUGAAAGUGAAAGUUGAGAUCCCUGUCGUGGGGAGCAUCGACGCCCGGACCAGACCUUUUGUGACGGUUCCGCGGUAGAGCAUGUAUGUUGGGACCCGAAAGAUGGUGAACUAUGCCUGAAUAGGGUGAAGCCAGAGGAAACUCUGGUGGAGGCUCGUAGCGAUUCUGACGUGCA